rnacentral:misc_RNA from 1 species
GAAAUGCGAUAACUAAUGUGAAUUGCAGAAUUCCGUGAAUCAUCGAGUCUUUGAACGCACAUUGCGCCCCCUGGUAUUCCGGGGGGCAUGCCUGUCCGAGCGUCAUUGCAACCCUCAAGCACGGCUUGUCUGAUGGGCGGUUCGUCUGCGGCCACCCGCCGGAGACGCCCCCGAAAUGCAGCGGGGGAUGUUCGCCAGAUCACAGCCUCAGGAAUGGAAAUAAACAAUGCUGACGGCCCGAUGUCGAACGUCCUCCCAAGGCGUGCCGCCCCCCCCGGGGUGUGCCGCCCAACCUCUCUCGGUUGACCUCGGAUCAGGUAGGGAUACCCGCUGAACUUAA